CCUACGGGUGGCAGCAGUGAGGAAUUUUGGUCAAUGGUCGGGAGACUGAACCAGCCAAGCCGCGUGAGGGAGGAAGGUACAGAGUAUCGUAAACCUCUUUUGUCAGGGAACAAAGACUGGGACGCGUCCCCGGAUGAGUGUACCUGAAGAAAAAGCAUCGGGUAACUCCGUGCCAGCAGCCGCGGUAAUACGGAGGAUGCGAGUGUUAUCCGGAGUUAUUGGGUUGAAAUGGUGCGAAGGCGGUCUGGUACGUCAGCGGUCAAACCACGGGGCUCAACCCCGGCCCGCCGUUGAAACUGGGAGUCUCGAGUUGGAUAGAAGUAUGCGGAAUGCGCGGUGUAGCGGUGACAUGCAUAGAUAGCGCGCAGAACUCCGAUUGCGAAGGCAGCAUGCCGGCUCCACACUGACGCUGAGGCACGAAAGCGUGGGUAUCGAACAGGAUUAGAUACCCUUGUAGUC
rnacentral:rRNA from 1 species